UCGUGCUUUUAUAUUUAUAAGCUCGGGAACUGAGUGUAAGAGUCGAUAGGGGAUUUUUUCUGGAGUGAUAAAUCCUUGAAAGCUAGCAUUAGGAUGGGGCUGCGGCUGAUUAGGUAGUUGGCGAGGUAAUAGCUCACCAAGCCGUUGAUCAGUAAGGGUUCUUAGCGGAAGAGCCCUGAGAGGGAGUCUGAGACACUACUCCCAGCCCUACGGGGUGCAGCAGCAGAGGAACUUCUGCAAUGCGCGAAAGCGUGACAGAGUUAGCCAGAGUGCUUUUCUAUAAUUGAAAAGCUUUUGUGGGAUGCAAAAAGUCCCAUGAAUAAGGACUGGGAGAGACUGGUGCCAGCCGCCGCGGUAAUCCCAGCAGUCCAAGUCGCAUCCACAUUUAUUGGGUCUAAAACAUCCGUAGCUUGCCAUCUAAGUCUCUUGUGAAAUCGGGCAUCUUAAGUGUCCGGCGUGCAAGAGAUACUGUUUGGCUAGAGACCGGGAGACAUAAGAAGUACGGAGAGAGUAGCGGUAAAAUGCGUUGAUCCUUUCCGGACUAACAAGAGCGAAGGCAUCUUAUGAGAACGGAUCUGACAGUGAGGGAUGAAGGCUAGGGGCGCAAAGUGGAUUAGAUACCCAUGUAGUCCUAGCAGUAAACACUGCACACUGAACAUUAGAACCUCCUCGAGAGGUUUUAGUGCUGUAGAGAAGUCGGAGAGUGUGCUACCUGGGAAGUAUAGUCGCAAGACCGAAACUUAAAGGAAUUGGCGGGGGAGCAC
rnacentral:rRNA from 1 species